rnacentral:rRNA from 1 species
AACGAACGCUGGCGGCAGGCCUAACACAUGCAAGUCGAGCGAGCAUUUCGGUGCUAGCGGCGGACGGGUGAAUAACGCGUGGGAACGUGCCCUUUUCUGCGGAAUAGUCCUGGGAAACUGGGGGUAAUACCGCAUACGCCCUUUUGGGGAAAGAUUUAUCGGAGAAGGAUCGGCCCGCGUUGGAUUAGGUAGUUGGUGGGGUAAUGGCCCACCAAGCCGACGAUCCAUAGCUGGUUUGAGAGGAUGAUCAGCCACACUGGGACUGAGACACGGCCCAGACUCCUACGGGAGGCAGCAGUGGGGAAUCUUAGACAAUGGGGGCAACCCUGAUCUAGCCAUGCCGCGUGAGUGAUGAAGGCCUUAGGGUUGUAAAGCUCUUUCAGCUGGGAAGAUAAUGACGGUACCAGCAGAAGAAGCCCCGGCUAACUCCGUG